AUUAUACUCCGUCCGUCCCAAAAUUCUUAUCUUAAAUUAAUCUAGAUAUAGAUGUAUCUAAUACUAAAACGUGACUUGAUACAUUCGUAUUUAGACAAAUUUAAGGUAAAAAUUUUGGAACGGAGGGAGUACUAA
rfam:Triticum aestivum genome assembly, contig: Triticum_aestivum_CS42_TGACv1_scaffold_433386_5DL